GUAACUUAGAAGAUGAUAAUUAAUGUGGUUGCUGAUAAUUCUGAAUAAAUACAGCUUUUAUCCCAGGUGUGCCAUUUUGAAGACUGAGACCAUAGAGUUCUAAGAAUAAAGGAAAGAGCCCUUGGGAAAUUAUUAUAUAUAGCAACUUUAAAGGAUUAACAUGACCAAAGAUGUUGCAGCUAGUCACCAGUGUUUUUGGAUCAUAACAUGACAUAGAUUUUUAGCAUAUAAAAUAGAAAUGUGAAUCCUCAGAUGGAAUGAAAGGCCUGCACCAUAGACAUUGAAGCAUUUACACCCCGCUUGAAGAGUUUGAAAUGGACUUUACUACUGAGAAAUCAAGAUGGCAGCCCAUUAUGGGGGAAUUGAGGAAAAUGGAUUAAUGCAAGAAUGCUGUAAUAUUAUACAACCAACACAGGAUUCUUUUAAUGUGGAU
rnacentral:lncRNA from 1 species